CAGGCUUUUUGCUGUAAACACUGUCUUUUCAGAGAAAAUGCAGUGUUUACAUUACAGCCUAGUGAUAACUUCACUGGCCACUCCUCAGAUGGCUGUUAGAGAUCCUUCCUGGGUCAUGGCUGCCUAAAAUGCAUCCAAGCAUUCAGUAUCUCCUCCCUCUGCAUGCAGACACUGAACUUUCCUCAUAGAGAUUCAUUGAUUCAAUUCAUCUCUAUGAGGAGAUGCUGAUUG